AAAAACUAUACAAAUUUGCAUUCCAAAAGUCUGACCCAAAUGGACAUAAAGACAUUUUAUAUUUUGGUGAAUAGGAGAGGAGGAUAUGAGGACUUUUUAAUCACUAAUCUUGUUUUCAGUUAUGCUCUGUUGAAUUUUUUGUGAGGGUAAAAGUUCUUAGGAGAACUAAUGAAUGUUAUAUACCAAAGAAGAGAUGAUGAGCUAUGGGAACUGACAUUCCUUGGGAGGAGGGAAUGAGAGAAGACACUGUAAAGUGAAGCUAUCAUUUUUCAUAGAGAAAUACAACAGCUAGAGCACAGGAAUAACCUUCGGUAUGAAUAACUAUAGUGGUUUGCUUUCCAUCUCCAUUUUGAAGAAUUUUAUUCUAAAACUGGAAGAAAAAGGAAGAAUGACCUAGAAUGUAAAGUGCUAACUCUUCGGGGACUGUCUUAAGAAGGGGAAAAAGAUGCAGGUCAGGCCAGUUUGGACCUGACGGUGCUCCCAAGUGCCACUGUAUCCACAGAGUUCACCGUACCCCUUGUGAUGGGAGCUGCACUUGCCCCUGGAAGAGAAUGGGCCCAACCUGUGAGGAAAAUGAUUUGGACGAUCCUGAACAACCAAAUACAGCUUUUCAGUGGGUGAAUAGAAUUUUGCCAGGGUUCACCCAUGGUUCAUCAUCUUAACUUUGGCAGAGAAAUGUACUUACUCAACUAUCUUCAGCCCAACUUCGCCUGUUGUGAGGUGAAAAACAGGACGUCUCAACUUUAUGGCUUCCAAGUAUAAGUUCCUUUCUCUCUACCCUUCCCAACUGCCUUUUGCUGAAGAACAUGCCCAAGAAAUAGGGAAUGUUUUUCCAAGAUCCCAAUCAUAGUAACAUUUUGGACUAAUAAAUAAAACUCUCUCUCUCUUUUUUUAUAUGCA
rnacentral:lncRNA from 1 species